UACAGAGGGGGCAAGCGUUGUUCGGAAUUACUGGGCGUAAAGGGCGCGUAGGCGGCCUGCUAAGUCGAACGUGAAAUCCCUGGGCUCAACCCAGGAACUGCGUCCGAUACUGGUUGGCUUGAAUCCGGGAGAGGGAUGUGGAAUUCCAGGUGUAGCGGUGAAAUGCGUAGAUAUCGGGAGGAACAUCAGUGGCGAAGGCGGCUACCUGGCCCAAUACUGACACUCAGGUGCGACAGCGUGGGGAGCAAACAGG
rnacentral:rRNA from 1 species